AGUCGGUUAUACGGCCGCGGUGGCGGAGAGAAACCGCCAAUGAGGAAAGUCCGAACUUCUUAGAAACAGGGUGCCGGAGAAAUCCCGGUGAAGGCGACUUUAAGGAAAGUGCAACAGAAAAUUACCGCCGCGCAAGCGGUAAGGUUGAAAAGGCGGGGUAAGAGCCCACCGCCCUCACGGUAACGCGAGGGGCAAUGUAAACCCCACCCGAAGCAAGAUUGACAAACCGUUUCAUUAGGGAGUUUCACCGAGACGGUUUAUAAAAUAUCGCUUGAGGGCGACGGAGACGUCGCUCCUAGAUAAAUGGCCGUACACGACAGAAUUCGGCUUACAGACCGACUUA
rnacentral:RNase_P_RNA from 1 species